rnacentral:rRNA from 1 species
GUGAGUAACACGUGAGUAACCUGCCCUUGACUUUGGGAUAACUUCAGGAAACUGGGGCUAAUACCGGAUAGGAGCUCCUGCUGCAUGGUGGGGGUUGGAAAGUUUCGGCGGUUGGGGAUGGACUCGCGGCUUAUCAGCUUGUUGGUGGGGUAGUGGCUUACCAAGGCUUUGACGGGUAGCCGGCCUGAGAGGGUGACCGGCCACAUUGGGACUGAGAUACGGCCCAG